CCUACGGGUGGCAGCAGUGGGGAAUAUUGGGCAAUGAGCGCAAGCCUGACCCAGCGACGCCGCGUGAGGGAAGACGGUCUUCGGAUUGUAAACCUCUUUCAGCAGGGAAGACAAAAGGCAGGUACCUGCAGAAGCAGCCACGGCUAACUACGUGCCAGCAGCCGGGGUAAUAAGUAGGGGGCAAGCGUUAUCCGGAAUUACUGGGGGUAAAGGGUGUGUAGGCGUGUUUGCAAGUCAGAGGUGAAAAUUAUGGGCUCAAACCAUAGCCUGCGUCGGAUACUACAGAUCUUGAGAGUGGGAGAGGUAAACGGAAUUCCCUGUGUAGCGGUGAAAUGCGUAGAUAUCGGGAGGAACACCAGAGGCGAAGGCGGUUUACUGGACCACAACUGACGCUGAGACACGAAAGCGUGGGGAGCAAACAGGAUUAGAUACCCUAGUAGUC
rnacentral:rRNA from 1 species